rfam:Metarhizium album ARSEF 1941 scaffold_18, whole genome shotgun sequence.
UUGAGCCGUAUGCGAUGAAAGUUGCACGUACGGUUCUUGGAGGGGGAAAUUUUAGUAAUAAAACAACCUAUCUCGC